UGAAGACCUAUAAAGAGGUGCACGACCGUGCGCUAUGGAUAGAGCGCGGCAACACCAUUGCGCGCGAGGAACGCGAGGCAUUUGAAAGGGACAAGGAUAGGGAGAAGUCUAAGAAGCAACCGGCUGGUGGUUCCGCGGGGCAGUCGAGUUCCAAGCGACCCCCUCGGCACCCUAGAUCGCAAUGGCGGCGAGAUAAGAGCCAGACAAGGAGUCAGACGAGUUCCUUCCCGUGCGUAAUCUGCGGUGGGAAUCAUAGGCCGAGUGAAUGUUCUCAGCGUGACGGGAGGUGUUUCCGAUGCGGCCAAGCGGGACACAUGAGAUGGGAUUGCCCGGGCGGCGCGUCACCUGUUCCGUCAGCUGCUUCGGCUCAGUAUGCUCCGCGACAGCUCGUAGGACUGCCACCUGCCAUGUCGGCUGGGCGCGCUUCAUCACCGCGACAACCAGAGGGGUCACGUGCAUCGAGUGGACAGGUUUUCGCCACUCAGGUGGAGGAGCAGCCUGCUGUACCCGACGACAUCGUGGCCAGUAUUAUUCUGAUUAAUGGUGUUAGAGCAAGAGCACUAUUUGACACGGGCGCAUCGCAUUCAUUCAUUGAUGCCUCGUUUGCUAAGACGCAUGGCAUAGACAUAGAACAUAAUU
rnacentral:lncRNA from 1 species